GUGGAAAGCUAGCGACAAAAGGUAAAAUAGAUGCUAAAAGGCAACACGAUGACAGUGAUAAUUCUGAUGAUAGCCUUGCAGUUGAUAGAAAGGGCAAUGAUAAACACAAGAGAGCUAAGAAAUAUUCGUCGGGUGAUGAUUCUGAUCUAGAGAAGGGAGUAAAAUCAAGUGGUGGAGCUCGUGAAAAAGGAAAAGGGAACUUUAAUCAUGCAGAUGGUUUGGACAAGUUUAAGAAAGAUUCCAUCAAUGAGUUCAGCCAUGCACAUACAGAUACAAUGAAAAGCAAGAGAAAGUUUGAUGAAGGUGGUGAAAAUGAGCAGCAGCUAGAGGCAAAGCCUAUAAAUCGCAAUUCUACAAGAGAGUCAGAUUUCCAUGGCAACCCCAAGAAAGAUUUCAAAAAUGAUUCUGAAUCAAUCCGAAGAGCACACAGUGGCUGGUAUGAUGAAACAAGGGAUCGGCGGUACAGGGAAGAUCCCAAAAUUGACUCUGAAUCAAACUCUAGAUCACACUAUAGUGCACGUGAUGAGGGUGACGACAGAAAGUCAACUCGAACAGGAAGCAGAUAUAAUGAAGAAACAGAGCAUGGAAGUAGACAUCACCGCAAGGCUAACGAGUCUCAUCAUCGCAGCAGGACUGAUCAAGAUACUGACGAGGAAAAAAGGCAUAGCAGAUAUGAGGAGCCUAGAGGGAGAAAACACGAAAGAGACGAAGGUCUAAAAUCGAGCAGGGAAGUUGAAAGAGGGGAGUAUCAACCAAGUAGCAGGCAGAGAUCUGAGAAAGAUUAUGAAACUAGAGAAUCUACAAGAGAUCGGGAUGAUUCCAGAAAGAGGGCCAGAUAUGAUUCUCGAUCAAGCAGACGUGAUA
rnacentral:misc_RNA from 1 species